rnacentral:rRNA from 1 species
AGAGUUUGAUCCUGGCUCAGAAUGAACGCUGGCGGCAUGGAUUAGGCAUGCAAGUCGAACGGUGAAGUCCCGCUUGCGGGACUGAUCAGUGGCGCAAGGGUGAGUAACACGUGAGUAACCUGCCCCUGAAUUCGGGAUAGCCCUGGGAAACUGGGAUUAAUACCGGAUGCGGUUUUACUCCGCCUGGAGUAUUGACCAAAGAUUUUAUUGUUCAGGGAUGGGCUCGCGUCCUAUUAGCUUGUUGGUGAGGUAACGGCUCACCAAGGCGAUGACAGGUAGCUGGUCUGAGAGGAUGGUCAGCCACACUGGGACUGAGACACUGCCCAGACUCCUACGGGAGGCUGCAGUCGAGAAUCAUCCGCAAUGGGCGCAAGCCUGACGGUGCGAUGCCGCGUGAGGGAUGACGGCCUUCGGGUUGUAAACCUCUGUCACCCGGGACGAAGAAGUGACGGUACCGGGAGAGGAAGCCACGGCUAACUACGUGCCAGCAGCCGCGGUAAUACGUAGGUGGCGAGCGUUAUUCGGAUUUACUGGGCGUAAAGGGUCCGCAGGGUGUUUGCCAAGUCUGAUGUGAAAGCCCGCGGCUCAACUGCGGAAUGGCAUUGGAUACUGGCGAGCUAGAGUGCACGAUGGGAGAGCGGAAUUCCUGGUGUAGCGGUGGAAUGCGUAGAUAUCAGGAAGAACACCGAUGGCGAAGGCGGCUCUCUGGCGUGCUACUGACCCUCAGGGACGAAAGCGUGGGUAGCAAACAGGAUUAGAUACCCUGGUAGUCCACGCUGUAAACGUUGUGCACUAGAUGUAGGCGGCUCUGAUCCCGUCUGUGUCCAAGCUAACGCGUUAAGUGCACCGCCUGGGGACUACGGCCGCAAGGCUAAAACUCAAAGGAAUUGACGGGGGCCCGCACAAGCGGUGGAGCAUGUGGCUCAAUUCGAGGCAACGCGAAGAACCUUACCUGGGCUUGACAUAUGUCGGACCGCCCUGGAAACAGGGUUUUCCCUUUGGGACCGUCAUACAGGUGCUGCAUGGCUGUCGUCAGCUCGUGUCGUGAGAUGUUCGGUUAAGUCCGGCAACGAGCGCAACCCGUGUUGCCAGUUACCAUCAGGUGAAGCUGGGUACUCUGGCGAGACUGCCCGUGUCAAGCGGGAGGAAGGCGCGGAUGACGUCAAGUCCGUAUGGCCCUUACGCCCAGGGCUGCACACGUGCUACAAUGGGCGGUACAAUGAGAAGCGAAACCGCGAGGUGGAGCAAAUCUGCGAAAACCGUCCCCAGUUCGGAUUGGAGUCUGCAACUCGACUCCAUGAAGCCGGAAUCGCUAGUAAAGGGGUAUCAGCAACGGCCCCUUGAAUACGUUCCCGGGCCUUGUACACACCGCCCGUCACAUCAUGGAAGCUGGCUGCACCCGAAGUCGCCGGCCCAACUCCAAAGCUUAGCGCGGAGAGGGAGGUGCCGAAGGUGUGUCCAGUGACUGGGAUGAAGUCGGAACAAGGUA